rnacentral:lncRNA from 1 species
GGAGAAGGAGAGUCAGACGCUGAUGGGGAAGUGCAUGCCUAGAAUGAAUAUCCUAAAUGGCAUAUAAGAAAUGGAAAAGAAAUUAAAAUUGGAAAAGAUUAGAGAAAGGAAACUUAGGAAAUGAAGAUGCACCACUUGAACAAGCUUCCAAGAUAAGCAUCAAGAGGAGGACUGCCACUUGCUUGAGCAAGAUAAGGUCUACCUAAAUUUGGGACUUUAGAGAUAGAAUUCUAUCUCAAAGAAGAUUGCAAAAGUGCAAAUCAACUCAAAUUCAUUGAAUCAAGGUAAUAUGUACAAAAAGGAGACCCCUAAGCCUUCUUAUAUAACCUUUGGAGUGAGCUAAGAUGCAAGAUCUAGGAGAUGUGGGACUUUUGAGGGUGUAGUUCAUCCAGCAGCUGCUGAAGGUCUUCUAGGGACUUUUGAGUCCCACAUUGCUCAAUUCUCU